rnacentral:rRNA from 1 species
GCACUCUAAUGGGACUGCCGGUGACAAACCGGAGGAAGGUGGGGAUGACGUCAAGUCCUCAUGGCCCUUAUGACCAGGGCUUCACACGUCAUACAAUGGUCGGUACAGAGGGUCGCGAAGCCGCGAGGUGGAGCCAAUCUCAUAAAACCGAUCGUAGUCCGGAUCGCACUCUGCAACUCGAGUGCGUGAAGUCGGAAUCGCUAGUAAUCGCAGAUCAGCAUGCUGCGGUGAAUACGUUCCCGGGUCUUGUACACACCGCCCGUCACACCAUGGGAGUGGGUUGCACCAGAAGUAGAUAGCUUAACCUUCGGGAGG